AUGUUUUUCUGUCUUCUUUUGUGGAUUCCAACUGAAUUGUCAUCUUUCCCGCCUUCUGCGCGGUUUCUUGGCUCAAGAUAUUAUGAUUCCCCUAGUAGUCUGACUGCUCUUUCUCUCAAGCGAAGUGCUUCUCGGGACAAAGGGAAGAAGGGAAGCAUCGCUCUUCUCUUCGAACAGAAGCAACUCUGUAGGGAGGAGAGCCUGCCGAUCGAGCAAAGGGAUCCAUACGGCUUUCAGGGGGAGCUGCUUUUACAGCCUACUGGUAUUUAA